CGUGCACUGGUGGGGUCCCUUGGCCUGGCCUGUGCCUUCUUGCAAUCUGGGACCCUCGGGGGAUGUUGAACUGCCAGUUUCAGCCUGAUCCCCGCAGGCCAGGCCAAGGGACCCCAUCGGUGCAUG
rnacentral:pre_miRNA from 1 species